GACGAACGCUGGCGGCGUGCCUAACACAUGCAAGUCGAACGAAGCUCCUCGAAUUGAGUUUUCGGACAAGAAGAGAGGAUGACUGAGUGGCGAACGGGUGAGUAAUGCGUGAGCAACCUGCCUUUCAGUGGGGGACAACAGUUGGAAACGACUGCUAAUACCGCAUGAUGUAACGAGGGGGCAUCCUCUUGUUACCAAAGAUUUAUCGCUGAAAGAUGGGCUCACGUCUGAUUAGUUAGUUGGUGGGGUAAUGGCUUACCAAGACUGCGAUCAGUAGCCGGGUUGAGAGACUGAACGGCCACAUUGGGACUGAGAUACGGCCCAGACUCCUACGGGAGGCAGCAGUGGGGAAUAUUGGGCAAUGGGGGAAACCCUGACCCAGCAACGCCGCGUGAAGGAAGAAGGCUUUCGGGUUGUAAACUUCUUUUGGCAGGGACGAAAAAAAUGACGGUACCUGCAGAAUAAGCUCCGGCUAACUACGUGCCAGCCGCCGCAGUAACAC
rnacentral:rRNA from 1 species